GUCCUGGAAGGCUGCUCUAAGGUAAUUUCUUGCUUAUGCAAUUACCUAAGGCUAUAUAAAGACUUCUUUUUUUUUUUUUUUUAACCAAGCAGGAAAUAUUUGCACUACAAAAUGUUAAAAGCAACCCUUAGUUAUCACCAUGAAUAUACCAGACAAAUGACAGCAAAAUAAAAGACAAUUUGAAUGCAAUGACUGGAAACUUGCAGGGAAAGUCUCCCUGCCCUCUGACCCUCUGCUAGAGCUGCUAGUCCUCUCUAACAAUCUGCUUUCUGAAACAGGUUUCUAAGUGUUAAACUAUAAAAUCUAAGCUAGGAGGCUAUUUAACAGUAGAUCAUCCUUCUCUGAAUGCUGCAAUACCAUCAAUCUUUCUUGGAAUGGGAUUUGCAUAGUAAUCAGCGAAGAAUUUAGUCCUAGCACUGUUAUAUCUCCAGCUAGCUGUUAUAUUUACUACAUUAUCUUAUUUAUCUGAAAACAGUUAUUCUUCAAUCUAGAAUGAUUUUAUUCAGUCUAUAACUACAACUCAUCCUAGUAGCAUCUGUAAAAAAGUGAAUUAAUUUUGGAAGAAGUAACUUUUUAAACACCACUGGACUGCUACUCUGUGGGACAAAGAGGUUUUUAUUUCUUGAGGUGAGUAAAUACAUUCAGCUUCCCAAAUCAGGUAGAUAUGAUAGAGCCACAGGGGUUACAUGUACAUACUAUAGACUUUAUACAAUAUGUUACUUUCUAUUUAACCCCUCACUCUCUCACACUUUGCAAUUACCUCUCAACUUCAGAGCUAGCAGUAAGAUCUAUUUCAUGCAGCUGCUCAAAUUAAAUCAAUUACUUGAGCUCUUCCAGCUCCAGGUGCCAUUAAGCAGAGCUCACCCUUUCCUACCCACAAAUGUGGCAGGCAUAGAUGUUAACUGUUUUCUGUGUUAACAUCCUGAAAAUCAGGUCCCAGAGCAAAUUACACACAGGGCCUCUUCCUGCCAGCUCUGCAAAGGAGAAGAAGCAAGUGCUUUUUGUUUAGUGCUUAUAUUAGACCAUGCAGUACUGAGAGUUAAUAGGUCAGUUUAUAUGUCUGUCCUUCCUGAAAAGGAAUUUGACUUUAUGCCAUCCGCUUCUUCUGGCCUAAAGGGACUGGGUGAUGUGGAAAAGCAUGAAGGAGCUCACAUGCUAGGCUAGGUGGAAUAAGUUUGGGCACCAUUUCAUUCCCUGGAGCAAUGAUUCUGAUGCCAUGUAACAGUCAGUGAAAUGACUAUAAAAAGCAGAAAGAAACUCUGUGCAUGCAAAGGAGCAAAAGGGGAAAUAAAAAUAAUGGAUUGAUUUUCAGAGUCCACCCUUGUACGUAUUUGGCUGUAAUUAAGAACCUCUGUAGUAUCUUAGCACAAGGUGGUCAAAGGACACUUUUUUCUUUUGAAAGAGACAUCUACAGCACUUUAACAGAAAAAAAAGAAGGGGGAAACAAUUUCCUAAUUAGCUUCUAUAAUGAGAAGGAGAAGUGGAAAGGAACCCCUCAUACAGCAUAGCUUGAAAUUGAGCCAAGUGCUGUACAGCUGAACUUUUUCAAUGGCUAUAAGCCAUGAGCUAACUUUCAAUACUCACAGUUGCUUUCUCCAUAUGUGUGCUUGAAUAUCUUCUAGUAAAAGUACAAAGCCAGUAGUCAGCUUCAGCCAAACUAUACCAAGCAGUAAAUGUCUAACAACUCCUGAGCUCAUGUAUGCCUUUGAGGAAAGCAGCCAGUGAAGGAGAAGUUGGAUUAGUUGCCACCCAAAUGAAAGGAUGCGUCAUGAGCUUCACCUGGAUUAGUCUGCAGCAAAUGGGAAGGAGCUGCAAUUGAUGCUUUGUCCAUGUGGGGCCUAAACCUGGCUGAACUUUGUCUUUUUCUAGACAUCAAAAAUAUCCACUACAAUCCAUGCCUUUAGGGUGCUAGACUGCUUUUAUUUCAGAUUUGAGCUCCCACCCCAAUAUCAGUGUUGAAAGAGCUCCAAAUAUCAGAAACCCCACAGCACAGCUUAGAGAUGAGCUCACCUGUGAUCAGUGGGAGGGGGACUGAAGUAGCUGUCAAAGAAAAAAAGUUGCUUGAAUCCAAACAUGGAGAAAACCUUUUGGUCAGCUUAGCAAAUGGUAAGGUAUGGGAGAGUUAGCAAAACAAGAAGAAACCACUCAAACAGCUAUUAAAUAACAGCAAUUAAUUUCCUUAGCUCUGUUUUGUGGAAUAAAAUGCUGAUCUUGUUCAUUUACUCUGGUAGAUGGGAAAAUGUUGUCACCAGGGGUCAUGUGUGCUGGGAUGAUGGGAAAGUGUAUGAGCAGGAAGUAAUUAAGUAGUUGUAAAAAAGCUGGACAGAAUAUGACAUAGCACACCAGGUCCAGCUAAUGAACCUGCCUGAAUUUAUAGGUGGAUAAAACAUGUUAAGCUACGGGUCAUUUGAGUUCUCAAGUGACAGGUCAGAUCUGUGGAGUGGCAAGCAUAGCAUCAUUAUUAAAAUAAGCAUUGGCAAGUAUUAUGAGUCUGCCCUUAGGUUUAAUAACGUUUAAUUUUAUAAGUGGCUCUGGAUGAUAUCAAGUAGCUGUUGAGUCAAUUAAAUGCACACAGAGAAGUGCCUAUGGAGGCUGGAUUACUGGCACAGGGUCAAGGCACUCCUGGGCGGGUGGGACAUCUCUCCAUCCAUAGACAUUUUUAUUUGUUUGUUACUUAUGCUCUGGCCGUCUGAGAGCUCAGGGCAAAACUCCACUGACUUAUAAAUCUCUGCUUCUGUGCCAAAGUAUCUUCAUCAGCCACUUCAGCUGCACGACACCUAUCCCACACCCAGGCCUGUCAGCAUUGCCAAAGUGAUAUUCUCAGCACAUCUGUCUGAGCAGGACCCAUGUGCAGCUGAGGGAGUACCAAGGCCCUUCUCUGCUCUCUGCUUUCCUUCCCCCCACUGGAGCUGUGUAUGGCUCCGCUAACCAUGGGUGAGAUCCCAGGGGCACUUUGAGGAUUUGGGGUAAAUCUUGUUCCAGUGAAAUCAAUGGGAGUUUUGCCAUUGACUUUGGUGGGGCCGGACUUCAUUCAUAAAGCGUUGACUGUUAUAAUAGAUUUACCAGCCCCACAGGCAGGCCAUGCAGAAGUGUAAUAGAUCUCACACUCUUGCUUCUAGAAAUGAAUCCCCUGGCUCAUGACAAGGUCUGCAGGGAGCAGCUUCCCUGAGCCAAGCCCUUUAUCUGGGAAACCUACCACAUGGUUCUCCACUGUACAUACAGGGUGGAGCAGGGCUGACUGUGCCUCCACCAUGGAUGGGUAUACGUGCAUGCCAUCCAGCUCUGGGAGAAGCCAAAAGCUCCCCCAGAGGUGUGGCCCAGUUGGUUCUGCACCACAGUGAGCUGGUCCCUUGAGCAAUAACAGCAAGGGUGGACUUCCCCUGCUUGCACUGUGGCCAAGCUGGCCCUGAGCAGCCUCAGCACAGAGGCGGCACAAGCCACUGCAUGAGCCAGCAUCUGUGCAAGCAAAGGGAUGAAUUCUGGCUAUUACAGAGCAGGGAAACUGCUGCAACAGCCAGCACUGACCCUGUGCUACAGCUGUGGAGAGAGCUGUGGGCUGAAUGCUGCCGGCCAUGUGUACUGACUGUUCACUUAAUUUAAACAGAAAAGAAGGAGACAGGGAAUCCUGCUCCAUUGUCCUACUGCAAGUGGGAAAGGGCUGAACUAAUUCAAACCAAACUCAGCACAGAACCUCCUCCCAGGCAGAGACAUUUUUCUGUCAGGUUCCAGCCCUGGGAGAACUUUUACAGCUGAGCAAUAAACUGUUGAAACAGAGGUGAAGGCCUCACUAGCUCCAGGCUCCUGACACAGGGAGCAGCACAGAGCAACGGGCACCGUUUAAAUCCGUAGGAUUGUGUCAGGCUCUGGGGGAGCUGGAGGGUACCAGGGGAAGGAGAGGGUUAAUCACCACAAUUGCCCAACAAGCAUUUCCUAAUAUUGUCAAUUUUACCCACAAGUUACAAUUUCUCUGUUACUAUAGAGGCAAGAUGUUGAUACUGGAUUCAUUUUCUGGGUUUUAUUCCUUUUUGUCAUUUUUCCCAUGAACUAAUAAGCCACAGUGGAUUUGAAAGUAUGAGCAAAUGUGAACACUAUACAAAGCACUUUUAUGUUCUAUUGACAUUUUCUUCCCACCCUAAUAAUUUAGAGCUGUUAACAUAAAAAAAAAAAAAACAAGAUGAUCAUACUUCCCAUCACUUUCAUUUCCCAAGUUUAUGAAGGAAGAAUCAUGAGUAAUUUCCCAUAGUUAUUGUUUGCAGCACAACACAUGGUCUCAAUUACUGGGAUAAGAAACAUAGAGAGGGUAUUGGUGAGGAUAAAUGAUUUAUCUGAGCAUUUCAUUCAAAAUUCAUUUUCCAUGCCACAGUUUAUAUUACUCUGAUCAACCAUCAUCUUUCUUAUUGCACUUUAUAAACUUAAUCCAACUCUUCUGAGCAGGACCCUGGGUCACGAGAGAUCAGUUUGCUGACAUGUUUUUGGAGCAGUGAAGCAUAUUCAGGGUGACCCUCCAGCAAACCUCCUUGCUGCUAAAGGUAUCUAUAUAAGAAGGGCAGAUCUGGGCAAAUCUAGGCUAACAGGACACAAAAUAACUCUUGGAUUCCACUUUUAUUCUAAUUCCAGGGAAAGAGAAAGAGGCAACAGCUAUUGUCAGGAUCCAUGCCAACACAGAACAGAAUUUGUGCACUAACAUGCAGUCUCUUCCUGGCAGUUGAAGGUAUUUCACUUUAUGCUGUAGCAGUAGAUUUGAAGAGCAUGGCUGGGACAGGCUGGUGGCACCCCGAAGACUCACAGCAAAUAGAAUUUGGCUGCUUGCAGCUUUUGCAGAGGUUAUCUCCCAGCUCACCACUGAGGUAGUCUUUGUCAUGUUUCUCUUCAAGCUGGUUAAGUUCCUUCUUUUUAUAGAGUGGAAUACUACUGAUUUGUAAUGAAUAGUUUCCAGGCACUGGCUUCUUCUUUGUGAAAUGAAGUGUUGUGAGGGCAGGAAGCAGUUCCAGGAUGCGGUCUUUGUUACUGAGAUCCGAGAUGUUGAUGGAGAAGACUGCUGCUUUCUCAACAUCCCAGCUGGCGAGACUGAUGGGUGGCUGCAGCUCUUGCUGAUCCUGCACAAGAACAAAUGAUGUCAGUUGGCUUUGUCAGAGCGCGUUCCACACAUGCCUGUGUGUAUGCGUUGCUCACCCAGCUCAUUCAUUAUUAAUUAAAUACUUUUCAGAAGGA